rnacentral:miRNA from 1 species
AAUGACACUGUCGCGUAUUGGU